AAUUGUUUAAUCUAAAGGAAAGGUAAUCGUUUUGAAAACGAUUUAUAAAAGUUCGAAUCUUUUAACAAUUU
rnacentral:tRNA from 1 species